AGCGAACGCUGGCGGCAGGCCUAACACAUGCAAGUCGAACGAACCUUUAGGGGUUAGUGGCGGACGGGUGAGUAACACGUCGGAACGUGGCUUUAGGUUCGGAAUAACUCAGGGAAACGUGUGCUAAUACCGAAUGUGUCCUUCGGGGGCCAGAUUAAUCGCCUUUAGAGGGGCCCGCGUCGGUUUAGCUAGUUGGUUGUGGUAAGGGCUCAUUAGGGCGACGUUCAGUAGAUGGUCAGAGAGGAUGAUCAGCGACAUUGAGACUGGGACACGGUCCAGACUCUUACGCGAUGCGGCAGUGCGUAAUCUUGCCCAAUGGGCGAAAGCCUGACGCAGUCAUGCCUCGUAAAUGAUUAAGGUCUGAGGGUAGUAAAGCUCUUUCACCGGGCACGAUAAUGACGGUACCCGAAGAAGAAGCCCCGGCUAACUUCGUG
rnacentral:rRNA from 1 species